rnacentral:lncRNA from 1 species
AUGCCCCAACUGGGGGGACCUCACAGAGUCCACUCCUCCCAGCACAAAAGGCCCAGGGCUGUGCCACACUACCCCCAAGGUGUCCCCAUCAUUUCUCUCACAGGAGCUCCAGGAACCAGGAGGCCAAGGCAGACGUCUGAGGCCCAUGUCGUGAGGUCGGAGAGCAGAGGAGGCCCAGGCAGUACCAGGAGUGAAGGCAUCGUGCUCCCGGUGGGGAUGAGUAAGCUGAACAAGCCCGAGGAAGACCUUCAGGACCCAGGCGAGGCCCAGGGCCUGGUGGAGGUGCAGCUCUUGGGGGCUGAGGUGCAAGAGGCUGCAUCCCCCUCGGCCUCCUCCUCCACAGUGUCCUCCUCAGCCCCCCGGGAGGCCUUGCCCCAGGAAGCUCUGAAGGAGAUGAUAACUAAGCUGAUGAACUUCCUGCUCCUCAAGUAUCGAGCCAAGGAGCUGACUUCCCAGGCGGAAAUGCUGAAGAAGGUCCUCAAGGAUAACCAGGAGCACUUCCCGCUGGUUUUCAGACAAGCCUCGGAGUGCCUGCAGCUGGUCUUUGGUGUGGAGGUGGCGGGGGUAUACCCCAGGAAGGACACCUAUGGUAUGAUCCCUGCCCUGGGUCUCACCUGCGAUGAGAUGCUGAGCGAUGGGCAGGGCCUGCCCAAGGCCGGUCUACUGGUGCUGGUCCUCAGCGUGAUCAUGAGGAAUGGAGACCCCACCCCUGAGGAGGUGGUCUGGGGAGCACUCAGCAGGAUGGGGGUGUAUGUUGGGAGGGAGAACUCCAUCUUUGGGGAGCCCAGGGAGCUGCUGACCCAAGUGUGGGUGGGGGGAGGGUACCUGGAGUACCGGCAGGUGCCUGACAGUGACCCUGCUCGCUACGAGUUCCUGUGGGGUCCCCGGGCCUAUGCGGAGACCAGCAAAGAGCAAGUCAUGGCAUUUGUGCUCAGGGUCAGACAAAGGACUUGGAGGACCUUCCCACUCCUGUCUGCAGAGGCUGAGAGGGAGGAGGACAAGGAGGCCUGA